GACGAACGCUGGCGGCGUGCUUAACACAUGCAAGUCGAACGGAAAGGCCCUGCUUGCAGGGUACUCGAGUGGCGAACGGGUGAGUAACACGUGGGUGAUCUGCCCUUCACUUCGGGAUAAGCCUGGGAAACUGGGUCUAAUACCGGAUAGGAGCCAUUUUUAGUGUGAUGGUUGGAAAGUUUUUUCGGUGUAGGAUGAGCUCGCGGCCUAUCAGCUUGUUGGUGGGGUAAUGGCCUACCAAGGCGGCGACGGGUAGCCGGCCUGAGAGGGUGGACGGCCACAUUGGGACUGAGAUACGGCCCAGACUCCUACGGGAGGCAGCAGUGGGGAAUAUUGCACAAUGGGCGCAAGCCUGAUGCAGCGACGCCGCGGGGGGGAUGACGGCCUUCGGGUUGUAAACUCCUUUCGCUAGGGACGAAGCUUUUUGUGACGGUACCUAGAGAAGAAGCACCGGCUAACUACGUG
rnacentral:rRNA from 1 species